rnacentral:SRP_RNA from 1 species
GCUGGGCGCAUGGUAUGUGCCUGUAGUCCCAGCUACUGGGGAGGCUGAGGUGGGAGGAUCACUUGAGCCCAGGAAUUCUGGGCUGUAGUGCGCUAUGCCAAUCGGGUGUCCACACUAAGUUCGGCAUCAAUACGAUGACCUCCUGGGAGCAGGGGACCACCAGGUUGCCUAAGGAGGGGUAAACUGGCCCAGGUGGGAAACGAAGCAGGUCAAAACUCCCACGCUGAUCAGUAGUGGGAUUGCACCUGUGAAUAGCCACUGCUCACCAGCCUGGGCAACAUAGUGAGACCUCGUCUCU